AUACGUAGGGGGCAAGCGUUAUCCGGAUUUACUGGGUGUAAAGCGAGCGCAGACGGCAAUGCAAGUCCGAUGUGAAAUUCCGCGGCUCAACUGCGGAACUGCAUUGGAAACUGUAUAGCUGGAGUGCCGGAGAGGUAAGUGGAAUUCCUAGUGUAGCGGUGAAAUGCGUAGAUAUUAGGAGGAACACCAGUGGCGAAGGCGGCUUACUGGACGGCAACUGACGUUGAGGCUCGAAAGCGUGGGGAACAAACAGGAUUAGAUACCCUGGUAGUCCACGCCGUAAACGAUGACUACUAGGUGUCGGGUAGCAAAGCUAUUCGGUGCCGCAGCUAACGCAAUAAGUAGUCCACCUGGGGAGUACGUUCGCAAGAAUGAAACUCAAAGGAAUUGACGGGG
rnacentral:rRNA from 1 species